AUUGAACGCUGGCGGCAGGCUUAACACAUGCAAGUCGAGCGAGCGGCGGACGGGUGAGUAAUGUCUGGGAAACUGCCUGAUGGAGGGGGAUAACUACUGGAAACGGUAGCUAAUACCGCAUACCAUCAGAUGUGCCCAGAUGGGAUUAGGUAGUAGGUGGGGUACUGGCUCACCUAGGCGACGAUCCCUAGCUGGUCUGAGAGGAUGACCAGCCACGCUGGAACUGGGACACGGGCCAGACUCCUACGGAAGGCAGCAGUGGGGAAGAUUGGAAGAUGGGCGCAAGCCUGAUGCAGGCAUGCCGCGUGUGUGAAGAAGGCCUUCGGGUUGUAAAGCACUUUCAGCGAGGAGGCGUUACUCGAAGAGGAAGCACCGGCUAACUCCGUGCCAGCUGCCGCGGUAAUU
rnacentral:rRNA from 1 species